GAAGUACUCCCUCCUUUCCAAAUUACUCGUCUCAGAAAUGGAUGUAUCUAGAACUAAAAUACAUCUAGAUAUAUCCAUACCCGCGACAAGUAAUUUGUAACGGAGGGAGUAGUAC
rnacentral:pre_miRNA from 1 species